GUUCGGAUUGUAGGCUGCAACUCGCCUACAUGAAGUCGGAAUCGCUAGUAAUCGCGGAUCAGCAUGCCGCGGUGAAUACGUUCCCGGGCCUUGUACACACCGCCCGUCACACCAUGAGAGUUUGUAACACCCAAAGCCGGUGGGGUAACCUUUUGGAGCCAGCCGUCUAAGGUGGGACAGAUGAUUGGGGUGAAGUCGUAACAAGGUAGC
rnacentral:rRNA from 1 species